UCCAGGCACAGCUUUUGCCUUUUGCAGCCUGA
rnacentral:piRNA from 1 species